rnacentral:rRNA from 1 species
CAGUUUAACUGUCCUAAAGGGUGUGUUCGAGACUAGAACGUUGAUAGGCAGGGUGUGUAAGCGUUGUGAGGCGUUGAGCUAACCUGUACUAAUUGCCCGUGAGGCUUAACCAU